rnacentral:rRNA from 1 species
AGAGUUUGAUCAUGGCUCAGAGCGAACGCUGGCGGCAGGCCUAAUACAUGCAAGUCGAGCGGGGUCCUUCGGGAUUAGCGGCGGACGGGUGAGUAACGCGUGGGAACGUGCCCUUUGGUACGGAACAACUGAGGGAAACUUCAGCUAAUACCGUAUGUGCCCUUCGGGGGAAAGAUUUAUCGCCAUUGGAGCGGCCCGCGUUGGAUUAGGUAGUUGGUGAGGUAAAGGCUCACCAAGCCUACGAUCCAUAGCUGGUCUGAGAGGAUGACCAACCACACUGGGACUGAGACACGGCCCAGACUCCUACGGGAGGCAGCAGUAGGGAAUCUUGCGCAAUGGGCGAAAGCCUGACGCAGCCAUGCCGCGUGAAUGAUGAAGGUCUUAGGAUUGUAAAAUUCUUUCACCGGGGACGAUAAUGACGGUACCCGGAGAAGAAGCCCCGGCUAACUUCGUG